rnacentral:misc_RNA from 1 species
GGGAAGGGUCUCUUUUCCUCAUGCACAUCGUGAGGGUAUUUCUCGUCGCUCUUUCGGGUAAGUUACACAGAUCGAGGUUCGUUUUUGAGGUUGGGAAAGAGAGCCUUGCUUCGUUUCAAAGAGUCGGUGCGCUGGCUUACCUCCUGCUAGUGAGCGACAGCGCUGGCCAGAGGAUGCUGGGCUGUUCCGCUGUGGGUUUUCUUUUUGUUCGUGUCUUUUUCGCGCGCUUCCUGCAGUCGCCCAGGCUCACCGCCGAGAGGCGGUGUGAGGUCCGGGUAUGCGAUGUGUUCGGGUCGCUUUGACACUUCGCCUAUUAUAUGAGCGGCGCAAACACGUUCACUGUCGCAGGGCUUCCUGACACAGCUCCAUCCGGAACCCCAGUGCCCAUAUCAGUAGCGAUCCAUCGAUCUGGCCUCCCAGAGAUGUAGGCACUUUUUG